rnacentral:rRNA from 1 species
UACGUAGGAACCGAGCGUUGUCCGAAUUUACUGGGCGUAAAGAGCGCGUAGGCGGUCAGUUAAGUCUCAUGUGUAAUCUCCCGGCUCAACUGGGAGGGGUCAUGGGAUACUGGCAGACUAGAAGAUAGCAGAGGAAAGCGGAAUUCCAGGAGUAGUGGUGAAAUGCGUAGAUACCUGGAGGAACACCAGAGGCGAAGGCGGCUUUCUGGGCUAUUCUUGACGCUGAGGCGCGAAAGCGUGGGGAGCGAAC